UACGUAGGGGGCAAGCGUUGUCCGGAAUCAUUGGGCGUAAAGCGCGUGUAGGCGGCCAGAAAAGUCCGCUGUGAAAACUCGAGGCUCAACUUCGAGCUGUCGGUGGAAACUUUCUGGCUAGAGUCCGGAAGAGGAGAAUGGAAUUCCUGGUGUAGCGGUGAAAUGCGCAGAUAUCAGGAAGAACACCCGUGGCGAAGGCGGUUCUCUGGGACGGUACUGACGCUGAGACGCGAAGGCCAGGGGAGCAAACGGG
rnacentral:rRNA from 1 species